rnacentral:lncRNA from 1 species
CACUGCUUCUUCAUUUAUGACCUGAACUGGAAUGCAGAAACUUCCUUCUGCUUCUUGUUCCUCCAAGUUGUACAUUUUGCUUACAUUCUGCUCUUCCAUGGAAACCUCAUUGAUUCAUCCCACAAUUCUAUAUUAAAUCAGUAAUUUGUACUUGGCAAUUUGUUGGCACCAGUCAUGCCUGACAUUGUGCAAGAUGGACACUAUCUUGUCCUGCUAGAGAUUCAGUUUAGAAAGAUUAAAUAUGGGGGUGAGGAAAUAGCUUAUAUAUAUAAUAUAUAAAAAUAAUUCAUAAUCUAUGCAUGUAUAUAUGCAUGUGUAAAGAUUUUAAUAAUUUAAUAACUUAAUAAUUAUAGUAUAAUGCUCAAAUUAUUGUAUAUUUGAUGAAUAAUUUUGUGAUCUUUUGUAACCCAGAUGUUGGCACCACAGAAUUUCUUUAAUGACUCCAUCCCAUACAAUCCUAUAUUGAUUGAUGAAAUGGCAAGUUUAUAAUGUCCUGCUCUGUGCAUAGAUCAUUGCUUUACCAUAUGAAGAAAUAUUAUUCCAUGGAAAAAGUUUAAAAUCAUGGUACCAAUAUAGCAUAUUUUGUAUAAAAAUGAAGACAUUAAAAUAUAUGUAUAAUGAAAUAUCUACAUAUAACGUUUAUUAUAUGAAAUGAAAUAUUAAAAGUAUAUACAUAAACUAAUAAAACUGUUCAUUAUAGAUGGCAAAAGGAAUGAGUUUGAGGCUUCGGUGAGCAUACAUUUUUUUACAGAGUUUUGGUAUUAGACUCCAAAAUGUUUUACAUGUUUAAAAUAUUAAAUGAUACACAAAGCAAAAAACGAACACAUAUUUUAAAAAGAAUAUUUCUAUAUUAAAUCAUGGUAAUAAUCACAGGGAGAAAGAAUGGUUUCUGGUGAUCUAAAGCAUAAACAACCUGUCGACAACUGAGUAGGAUAUUCACUGAAGGACAAACUGAGAGUCACAUCAAAUCGCACUGUCUAUUCAGUCGCAUUAUUAAUAGACUAUUGGUAUUGGUAUUUGGAAAUUAUGUUUAAUAGUGUCUGGUAAGGCAAAUUAGUGAUUAUGCUAAUGUCAUCUGUUUAAGAGAAAAGCUACAAGUAUAAAUUAAAGAACUCAGGCCCAUUCUCCCCACUUAAUUGAAAUUUUUAUUACAAAUUCAAGAUUUUCUAAAAUUAUAUAAUUUGCACCCAUAGAAAAGCCUAGAAGCCAUGACCUGCCUACAGCAAUGAGUAGGAAACCAGUAAUCACAAAACACCUGGAGUCCUUUCGCCUAAAGAUCACACUCUGCCCCUCCCCCCAAAUCUUGCCUCCUUUGCCACCUAGAAGUGGAAUGUUUUCUCUGCUCACUGUUAUAACCAAUACAAAUGUUAGUGUUUUAGGAUCUUUUGAGAUUUAAAAUAAGAUUUUUCUCAAUUGAAUUACUCUCAUAAUUCUCUUACUCUGUUCCAGGUGCACAAAAGCGGGAUUUAAAUGAAUGAUUUUGAACUUUUGUUUUUGGUGUGGAUUUAACUUUAGCUUUACAGCGAGUUCACCGUGGAAAGUCUUGGUGCAUUUUAGCUGCGAUACCUGUUUCUCAGGUGUCCCCGUCUGCAUUAUCACUCCCAAUGCGCAUUCCUUUUGCUCCUUAGCCUGAUGCGCCUGCGUGGCUGCUGGAAUACCGCGGGAAACCAGCAUGCUUCUCAUUCGCAGUUCAUUGGGAGUUUCCAACCCGACACUCUUGGCUCAGCUGCGUGCAGAUGAUAUUCCAUCCCAUCCCAGGCAGCCAGGCGGAGACUCUUCCAGGACGCUGAUGGAGCCCCCGGGACAGUGACCGCCUCAGGGAAGCGGACCCAGGGGCCAAAGGUGAAGAUUUACUUUCCACCUCCAUGUAUCUCCAUUUCAGCAGCUGCUCUGGUUCUUCUUACCCCACCAAAGAGUCGGAGAAAACAAGGGCUGAGGGUGAGCGUCGAGGAAAGGCGGGCUCAAGGAGGAUGGGGAGCAGCAACUCGGGCGGGAAAAACGAAGAACGUGUAUACAUAAAGGUAUAUCAUCUUACUCUAUUCAUAGUAAUAUUUAUUUAUUGUUUCCGUAGCCCCCAAAUGUUGGGGAAUUUGGUAACCUGAGCAUCUUCAGCAAGUGCGGGCCUCUCCAAGCAGGACGAACCCCUUUUCAGCUACUUCCAUAGAAAGCUCUGUACCUGAUCUGCUUUCCCUGUAUGAACGUCAACCUUUAAAUGAAAUUUUCCGUACGACGUCACUAAAAAAAACCAACCUAUCAAUAAAAUUCCUUAAAGAAAUUGUACUUAAUAAAGUUGAAUCUGUAUAGUUUUAAUCUUUUCAGAAAUGGUUAUUCAGCAGAGUUGAGGAGAGUUGGACAGCCUCAGCGCUACCACGUUCCUUGUGCUGAGGGCACUUUUUUAUUCCCUUAUGGACGUUGGACCCUUCAGAUGUGUCCACCCCUGCUGCGGUCAGUGUGAGUAAAUUACAUUUUUUUGGAAGUUAUUUAUUCCACCUGAGUUUACAAAUUAUUUCUAUGGAAGAUGGUGCAUAUUUUUCUUUGUUUCUAGUGAUAAUUAUUUCCUCCUUAUUUUUAUUUUGUAAAUUUAUAACCUCUUCCUUGUCUUACUUAGCCUUCGCAGAUGUCUUUUUACUCUACAGAUUUUUCAGAGGGAGCCUAUUACUUUUAAAGCUUUCUCCUAACAUUUUUACACUUAUUAAUCUCUGCUUUUAUCUCAAUUACUUAAUUCCUUCUGCUUUCUCUUAGUUUGCUAUGCUAGUCCUUCUUAUGUUUUCAGGAUUUUUGUAUUUUAUGUUGACUUCAUUUUUUAUUUUUAAUAAUCCUUAUUGAUGUAAAUGUUUUCAUUAUGUGAACUUUUCUUUAAGCGCUGCUUUAGCUGACUGCCAAAAACUCUAUACUUCGUUUUUGGUAUUUCCUAGAAAUUUUCCAGUUGCGUUUUGUAUCUCACCUUCUAUCCAUGAUGUGUUUAAUAUUAUAAUUUCCAGUGAAUAAUCUUUUUUUUUUUUCUAAGUGAUUUGUACGGUGUUAAUUGUUGACUUUUCUGGUUGCUACUCAGUUUGAAUGAAGGAGCUCCUUUUUACACCAGGUGCUCUACAAGCACCGCCUUCUGGAAAAGUGACCCAUCAUUCUCUCGGCCUCUCCAUCUCGCUCCCUCUCCAUCUCUCUCGCUCCCAAACAGGGACAUUGACUGAUUGCAUUAGAUGUGCCUGCUAUAGAUUUGAUUAGGAAUUCUCCAAGUUUCCUAAGGGGUCAGUCCAGUCUCCUCUGCUAGGUUACAGAAAGCUUUUGCUAACAUAGUUACUUCGUGUAUCUCGCUAUCAAAUAUUCUCCAGUUGGCUAGGAACUUUUCUAUGAGGACAUUAGUGGGGCACAUAAGUCUUUCAGCAAAUAACCGCAGAUUUCCUAAAAAGUAGGAACACUGUAGCCUCGAUGGACUAAGCGAAAUAGUUCAACUGCCAUGAUCUGCUUUGCUGUCAAAAAAUAGAUUUAAAUAGUAUCCAGGUGUUAUGCUGAAGAAUCAGAUUUCGAACGUUCUGGAUUCCUAAGUGCUGUUUGUUAGAUCCACCUAGCCGAAACAAAUUAUUUGAUGAAAGACAGGAAGACAAGCAAAACAUCAGAGAGAUUUCAAAGUGCAGGAAAUUGUAGCUCAAUUAUUAUGAUCAUAAUUUCAACGUCCACAAGAGAAAAUCAGAAGACAUUGAUAUAAUCAUAAACUUUGACUGGUGGAAUCUCUAGAAUUGUUAUUCUUAACGUUUGUAUACCUAAGAAUCACCUGGAAACCUCACACAGAUUCCCAGACAUUAUGUCAAGAAUUCCAACACCGUCAGUUUGAUUGUUUGAAUUUUACCAGUAACUGCGAGUGAGUCUGUCAGGUAGUCCACUGACUGCACUCUGAGAACACCGUUCCACAAUAUUUCAUGCAACUGCCAAAGUUAAUAACUUUGGUUCAUGGUUUCUGGUUUUCACAUCGGGGCUUUGCUUUCACAACCCUUGUGACCCCUACAAUCUAUUAAAAGUACUGGCCACAGCCAAGGAACCCACGGUAAACUAGCUCAUGCUUUCCUCAACCACGCGCCCACAGAGACCACCUGCCCCUGGGUCUAAGGCUGCUGAAAAAGUGCUCCCACCCUUUCUUGCUUUACGGAGCUUGAUUCCCUGAGGAGUCACGUCUACACACCUAAUAAGCACACAUGGACUACCGCUUUAAUUCAUUCAGGUCUCCUGAAAGCACAAAACUAAGCCUAGUCAAAGGAAAAAGAUAUAAGGAAAGGUUUCUAGGAAACGGGAAAUUGUAUAGAUUUAAAGUUGGGAGUCCAGUAAUACAGAUGUAGAUGCAGAUACAGAUAGUAUAUUAGAGCUGCUAGCUCUGUCAAAACAGACACCACAGAUUGUGUGGUUUAAACAAUAGCAAUUUAGUUUCUCACAAUUCUGGAGAGUAGCGGAGAAAUCAAAGGCCACUGUGCCACUGGGAUUCAAUCCUGGAGAGAUCGCUCACCCUGGCUUAGAAACAGCCCCUUCUCUCUUGUCCUCACGUGGCCUUUCCUUUGUCUUUAUGCAGAGAAGACAAAAUUUCUGGUGUUUCUCCUUUUCUUUUAAAGACAACCGUCCUCUCAGACCAGGACCCCAGCUUUGGGAGCUCGUUUAAGCUUUCUAACCUUCCUAUCUUCAAAUAUAGUCACACUGGGAGUUAGGGCUGUGAUGCAUGAACUUUCUCACAUAGAUACACACACAGAUGUGGAUACAGAUUUGUAUUCAGCUUCAUUACAUUUUAGACAAAAUGUUUAUGUGUUUCAGUCUAUUUUAGUUUUACAAUAUUACAUGUUUCUUCUAUAGAUACUAUUUUAUGUUAAGUGCCCCUGUUUCUUACAUCUUUCCUAAGAGAUGCAGCUCUAGAACAUGGAUAAUGUCUUAUUCAGAUGAGUAUCCCUACGGCUGCGCUGGGGAAGACCCUCUGUUCUUUAUGAAAGGAUACGGGGAAAUGAAAACUCUUGUGCCUUUUAAUAUCAGCAAGUAUCUUCAUUUUAUCCUCCCUCACUUGAAUGAUUCAUUCUUGGAAAAUGCCAGACAUUGGUUCUCAAUCACCAUUUUAUACAAGGGAAGCUGUAUAAAUAAUAGUGACAGGAAAAC